AGAAGAAGUGGGACCGACUCAGCGAGCGCCUUGUUUACCCCGCAAUUGCUCUAAACCCCGAUCUUAAUCACAGGAUGAGAAACCAAAACAGUUUAAAUCCCCCGGCGCAGCCCCCACGAACACAAACCAGCCGGGCAAAGCCAGCAUAAGGUGGGCACUUUCUUGAACCGCGUCUGCAAACUUUGCAACCCCGCCUGAGAGCGGCUCCGGCUGCAGCCGCGCCGAGUCGGGGAGAGCGACUAUUCCGAGGGUGUGUAAAGUCCUUUAAAAUCAACUGCUACUUUCCCAGUUCAUAUCGAUUUCAAAUACUACUUACGGGAAUAUGUGGCUCCAUGCGUGGUGCUUCUACCCGCUGGGAAACCAGCAGCAUCUUGGCCUGGGGAUCAGCCGGCUUUUAGAUCCACUUUGGCUGUAUUUAGCAAAACCCAGCACCGCCAAGGACUCUGAGGCUGUUUUCUCCUUUUAGGUUCCAGACAAGUUCAUCCUGGCGUUGCAGUUUGCUAAUGAUUCACUGUCUGUCUCAAUCUGCUCACUACAUUUCCAUCAACCCACAGCUUCCUCACUUAGAAGGUGGAGUUUGUGGGGUUUAAGUUACUGAUAGGCAUAUCUAAGUGCUGUGUCACUCAAAGAGGAGGAGACACACACACACUCACACACACACUCACGGCUCCAGGCUUAAAGGCGAAGCAACGCUUUCUUCUCUUUAGAAACUGGAAACCUCACAGAUCUAAGGAUUUUAAAAAUUUUCUUCCUCUUUUUUUUUCUCCCCUUGUGCAUGAAGGUGAAAAUCAUGCAGCCUACGGACAGCCUACGCAAAAAGCUCUUUAGCAUGUUUACCACCUUCUUCGUAGAGCUUCAAAUUCAUUAAGUGUGGAAGUAGCAUAGCUCAGAAACAUACAAGCAAUUAAUGGAUAUUUUUACUUCCAAAUCAAAGUGUACAAAUCACUGAAAAGACAGCCCGAGGCAUGAAGUGUAAAGGUUUGAGUUAUUCUUAAAAAGUGUAGUCUCCUCUCUCUUUAUGCCAUUAUGACAUUCAGCAGUGAUAAAAAACACUUAUAAAAGGGUUAAAUUCCUCUCACACAGGUGAACCCAGGUUACCAAGAAGGAAACAGUGGUGGUGUUUCGUUUUCCCCCUUUGUGCUAUGCACAUGUAUUUUUGCCGACAGAUACAAUUCCGAAUAGAGAGCUCUCAUAAAACCACACACUUCUCAUAUUAAUAUAAACGUGCUUGUUACAAGCUGCAAUCUCUGAAUAUUAAUUUUGACAGACCAUCAGAUGAAAGCUAAGAACCUGUUCAGACCUUGUCCUGAAUUGUGCAGAAAGGACUGGGAAGAACAAGUUGCUGGCAGCCAGGAGAGCACAUUUGGUCCAAAAUAAUUGCCGGUAUAAUUUCAUUUCAUUGCUAAAUCGGUAUGAUUGUCACUCCUGUCCUGAUAGGCUGGAGAUGCUAGAAACCCUGUCCCGGUACACUGACUCAGUGGAUGAGAUGUGGAAGAUUUAGUACCAUUUCUAAUAAAAUGUCUAACUUUAAAAAGUAAUAGUAAUAUUAGUAAAUUAUGCUCUAUAAAAUUAGGAAGAAAGUUAUUUGAAUAAAACUCAAUUACUGUAGCAAAUAUACACAAGUGGACCCAGAAUCUGGCCUCACUUUCCUGGAAGUUUUCCAUACAGCAAUCAUCUUCAACUCACAACUUAUAGACCAAACCCAUCUUUGUACCCCAAGUUAAUAAAUAUCAGAAAUAUCAGUUCAUCAACAAAGAAAAAUUUAUUUUCACCUUUCCUGAAGCCUCUAGCUUUCCUGUGACUGCUGUAACUACAGGCCCACUCCUCUGAGCAGUAUUUGUAUAACUUCUUUUUGGAUUGUUUGGAAGUUUAUUGAUUUGCUUUUCUGGUGAUUUUGCCUUCCAUAUUAUUUCAAAUUACAUCAAUGUUUUUUGCCUACUGAAAUAAAGAAGCACAAAAAUAAUAAA